rnacentral:tRNA from 1 species
AACCUACUAGCUCAAUUGGUAGAGCAUUAUGCAAAUGUGCAAAGAUGUGGCUUCGAAUCCUACGUAGGUUG